AUGAAGAGUUGGGCCUGCUCGGUGAUUAAUAUUUAACAGCUGCGGUAUUAUAACUGUACUAAGGUAGCAUAAUAGUUUGCUCUAUAAAUUGGGGCUAGAAUGAAUGGUUUUACGAAAAUUUGAAA